ACGAACGCUGGCGGCAUGCCUCAUACAUGCAAGUCGAACGAGAUCUUCGGAUCUAGUGGCGCACGGGUGCGUAACGCGUGGGAAUCUGCCCUUGGGUUCGGAAUAACUUCUGGAAACGGAAGCUAAUACCGGAUGAUGACGUAAGUCCAAAGAUUUAUCGCCCAAGGAUGAGCCCGCGUAGGAUUAGCUAGUUGGUGGGGUAAAGGCCCACCAAGGCGACGAUCCUUAGCUGGUCUGAGAGGAUGAUCAGCCACACUGGGACUGAGACACGGCCCAGACUCCUACGGGAGGCAGCAGUAGGGAAUAUUGGACAAUGGGGGAAACCCUGAUCCAGCAAUGCCGCGUGAGUGAUGAAGGCCUUAGGGUUGUAAAGCUCUUUUACCCGGGAUGAUAAUGACAGUACCGGGAGAAUAAGCUCCGGCUAACUCCGUG
rnacentral:rRNA from 1 species